UACGUAGGGGGCAAGCGUUGUCCGGAAUCAUUGGGCGUAAAGAGCGUGUAGGCGGCCCGAUAAGUCCGCUGUGAAAGUCCAGGGCUCAACCCUGGGAUGCCGGUGGAUACUGUCGGGCUCGAGUCCGGAAGGGGAGUGUGGAAUUCCUGGUGUAGCGGUGAAAUGCGCAGAUAUCAGGAGGAACACCAAUGGCGAAGGCAGCACUCUGGGACGUGACUGACACUGAGGCGCGAAAGCGUGGGGAGCGAACAGG
rnacentral:rRNA from 1 species